CCCUUCCAAGUUCUCAUGGUGAGUGGCUGGGAUGAGGGCGGCGCUCACGGUGAGGAAGCCCGGAGCUCCCGGGACGCAGACAGGGUGUGCAGGGCCGUAGCUCGGGCUUGUGUAUGCGCGUGUGCGUGUGUGAGUGUUUCACGCCGGGACAAGGCGGCGGUGUGCGCGGCGAGAAGGCUGCGACAGCCGUAUAGACCCCAGCUGCAGUGAAAUGGCCACCAAAAAGGGAAGGGAUAAUCGAGUGGUGGAAUAAAAUCUGCAAACAGAAAAAGCACAGACCUGUUUUCGGAACGAGGCUUUUCGAGUUACCACCAUGACUGAAGGCUAAGAGCAACUUGCUUGCGGAUUAAAGAUCACUUGGAGAGAGAGGUCCAGUGAGCAACAACGGCCAGAAAUUUCAGGGAGACCAUCUUGGAACAUCCAGCCUCCGCCAAGCCAACAGCUGACAGCUGUCACAUGAAUAUGAUCAGCAGAAGAACCACUCAGCUCCCAUGUCUUGACCAACUUUACAUUCCCCUCUAGGACCUUAUGGGCACAUGAGUUCCUAUCAUUUCAUGG
rnacentral:lncRNA from 1 species